GACGAACGCUGGCGGCGUGCUUAACACAUGCAAGUCGAACGGAAAGGCCUGCUUUCCCUUGUGGAUUGCGGGUACUCGAGUGGCGAACGGGUGAGUAACACGUGAGUGAUCUGCCCCCAACUUGGGUAUAAGCCUGGGAAACUGGGUCUAAUUCCCGAUAGGACUGCAGGGUGGUGCCUGUGGUGGAAAACGAUUUUCUAGUGGUUGGGGAUGAGCUCGCGGCCUAUCAGCUUGUUGGUGGGGUAAUGGCCUACCAAGGCGGCGACGGGUAGCCGGCCUGGGAGGGUAGACGGCCACAUUGGGACUGAGAUACGGCCCAGACUCCUACGGGAGGCAGCAGUGGGGAAUAUUGCACAAUGGGCGGAAGCCUGAUGCAGCGACGCCGCGUGGGGGAUGACGGCCUUCGGGUUGUAAACUCCUUUCGACCGCGAGGAAGCCACCUGGUUGGAAGGGUGGUGACGGUAGUGGUAGAAGAAGCACCGGCUAACUACGUG
rnacentral:rRNA from 1 species